UACGAAGGGGGGCUAGCGUUGCUCGGAAUCACUGGGCGUAAGGGGUGCGUAGGCGGGUCUUUUAAGUCAGGGGUGAAAUCCUGGAGCUCAACUCCAGAACUGCCUUUGAUACUGAGGAUCUUGAGUUCGGGAGAGGUGAGUGGAACUGCGAGUGUAGAGGUGAAAUUCGUAGAUAUUCGCAAGAACACCAGUGGCGAAGGCGGCUCACUGGCCCGAUACUGACGCUGAGGCACGAAAGCGUGGGGAGCAAACAGG
rnacentral:rRNA from 1 species